AUGUACCGCCUGGGGAGUNCCGGUUCGCAAGGAUUAAAACUUCAAAGGAAUAGACGGGGACCCGCACAAGCGGUGGAGCAUGUGGUUUAAUUCGACUAUACGCGAAGAACCUUACCUGGCCUUGACAUAGAAAGAAUUUAGCAGAGAUGUAAAAGUGCUAGUUUACUAGAGCUUUCAUACAGGUGCUGCACGGCUGUCGUCAGCUCGUGUCGUGAGAUGUUAGGUUAAGUCCUGCAACGAGCGCAACCCUCGUGUUUAGUUACUAACAGAUUAUGCUGAGGACUCUAGACAUACUGCCUGGGCAACCAGGAGGAAGGUGAGGACGACGUCAAGUCAUCAUGGCCCUUACGGCCAGGGCUACACACGUGCUACAAUGGGGUAUACAAAGAGCAGCGAUACCGCGAGGUGGAGCAAAUCUCAUAAAAUAUCUCCCAGUUCGGAUUACACUCUGCAACNCGAGUGUAUGAAGUUGGAAUCNCUAGUAAUCGUAGAUCAACAAUGCUACGGUGAAUACGUUCCCGGGUCUUGUACUCACCGCCCGUCACACCAUGGGAAGAA
rnacentral:rRNA from 1 species